AUUGAACGCUGGCGGCAGGCCUAACACAUGCAAGUCGAACGCAUCGCAAGAUGAGUGGCAGACGGGUGAGUAACGCGUGGGAAUCUGCCCAGUAGUGGGGGACAACAGCCGGAAACGGCUGCUAAUACCGCAUACGCCCUACGGGGGAAAGGGGGGGAUCUUCGGACCUCUCGCUAUUGGAUGAGCCCGCGUCGGAUUAGCUAGUUGGUAGGGUAAAGGCCUACCAAGGCUACGAUCCGUAACUGGUCUGAGAGGAUGAUCAGUCACACUGGAACUGAGAGACGGUCCAGACUCCUACGGGAGGCAGCAGUGGGGAAUAUUGGACAAUGGGGGAAACCCUGAUCCAGCCAUGCCGCGUGUGUGAAGAAGGCCUUAGGGUUGUAAAGCACUUUCAGUGGGGAGAAAGGUUUGUCACCUAAUACGUGAUGAGAUUGAUGUUACCCACAGAAGAAGCACCGGCUAACUCCGUGCCAGCCGCCGCCGUAAGAC
rnacentral:rRNA from 1 species